rnacentral:rRNA from 1 species
AAAACGACUCUCGGCAAUGGAUAU